UUCGCCAGGGAACAACGAGCCCCAGCUUAAAACCCAAAGGACUUGGCGGUGCUUUAGACCCCCCUAGAGGAGCCUGUUCUAGAAUCGAUAAUCCCCGUUCAACCUCACCCCCUCUUGUUAUUACCGCCUAUAUACCGCCGCCGUCAGCUCACCCUGUGAAGGAUCAAUAGUAGGCAAGAUUGGCUUAUCCCAAAACGUCAGGUCAAGGUGUAGCGUACGAGGGGGGAAGAAAUGGGCUACAUUUGCUGACCCAGCAAACACGGACAUUGCACUGAAAUCGGGCAUUUAAAGGAGGAUUUAGCAGUAAGCUGGGAGUAGAGUGCCCACCUGAAGCCGGCCCUGAAGCGCGCACACACCGCCCGUCACUCUCCCCGCAAGCAAUAGCAGAUAACUAAUAAGAUACCCGCGAACGAAGGGGAGGCAAGUCGUAACAUGGUAAGUAUACCGGAAGGUGUACUUGGACAACC
rnacentral:rRNA from 1 species